rnacentral:rRNA from 1 species
GACGAACGCUGGCGGCGUGCUUAACACAUGCAAGUCGAACGGAAAGGCCCUGCUUUUGUGGGGUGCUCGAGUGGCGAACGGGUGAGUAACACGUGAGUAACCUGCCCUUGACUUUGGGAUAACUUCAGGAAACUGGGGCUAAUACCGGAUAGGAGCUCCUGCUGCAUGGUGGGGGUUGGAAAGUUUCGGCGGUUGGGGAUGGACUCGCGGCUUAUCAGCUUGUUGGUGGGGUAGUGGCUUACCAAGGCUUUGACGGGUAGCCGGCCUGAGAGGGUGACCGGCCACAUUGGGACUGAGAUACGCCCCAGACUCCUACGGGGGGCAGCAGUGGGGAAUAUUGCACAAUGGGCGGAAGCCUGAUGCAGCAACGCCGCGUGCGGGAUGACGGCCUUCGGGUUGUAAACCGCUUUCGCCUGUGACGAAGCGUGAGUGACGGUAAUGGGUAAAGAAGCACCGGCUAACUACGUG